UACGUAGGGACCAAGCGUUGUUCGGAUUUACUGGGCGUAAAGGGCGCGUAGGCGGCAAUUCAAGUCAUCUGUGAAAUCUCCGGGCUUAACUCGGAACGGUCAGAUGAUACUGCUUUGCUAGAGUGCAGAAGGGGCAAUCGGAAUUCUCGGUGUAGCGGUGAGAUGCGCAGAUAUCAGGAGGAACACCGGUGGCGAAGGCGGGUCUCUGGGCCGAUACUGACGCUGAGGAGCGAAAGCGUGGGGAGCGAACAGG
rnacentral:rRNA from 1 species